UCUUUUUCUCCACAUACUUUAGCUGGUGAGGGAGAUGAAGAGGACACAGGUGGAUGAGGAUGAAGAGCGGAGAGGAGACGACUGGAUUUAGUCUUUAAAGUGAUGCUCCCAGAGACCUUGAUCAAAGUCCAUCAUGUCCAGAGGAAGCCGGGUUUUAGUCCAGCCUGGAGGAUGGAGGAGUGGCCGCCUACAGAGUCAUGAUGGCCAGUGGCGCCUGUUUCUAGUCCAACUCCACAUUUUCUUGAUUCAUUCUUUGUGUUUUUUCCAGUGUUUAAUGCUGAGUUUCAUUUCUCCUCCUUCUUGUAUUUGCUUUCCCUGUUUUUCUUUCCCUCGUUGUUCUAUUGUGGAAAAGUUGGAGAUGGAACAGAAUAAAAAGUUGAUCAUUAAAAAAGAAGUGUGGGUCAAGUUCUUUAUGCUGCCACUAUGAUCAUGUGCUGGUGUGUUGACCUUGAUUCCAGAAAUCAAACACAGAUAAGAUUAUACUGACAA